UGAAGUCGGGGAAGAUUCAGCGUUGCCA
rnacentral:piRNA from 1 species